AAUAUUUUAUCUAGUUUAAAAAAAAUAAUAGUUUGUCAAAUUAUUGAUGCUUUUUUGCGAUUAACAAAUAGCUUAUUUAUU
rnacentral:tRNA from 1 species